CCUAUUUUCUAGAUUACAACUAGAACUAACUAGAACUAGAACUAGAGGAACUAGAACUAGAACUAGAUGAACUAGAACUAGAUCUAGAUGAACUAGAGGUAGAACUAGAAGAACUAGAGGGAUCCUCUCUACUUGGAUGAAGAAUUGAAACCCUAACUUUGAUUCUGUAGAAGAGGUAUGAUCUCCAGGGGCCAGGGGGGUCUGGUUUUAUAGUCCCUUCAAGUGAAUCUGGGCCGUCGGAUCAAACCGACAUUGAUCGUGUGGUUUUCCUUGAAGUAUUAGGUCGGUGGAGCAUUGUCCCGAAAGAGAGUCCUGAUUGGACUCUGGCUGAGGGCGGGCGCCCAAGAGACUAGGGCGGGCGCCCUGUGCCUGAGCCCUCUCAGCCUCUGCUUCGGUCCCGUGGCUUCUGGAGUCUUCUAGAUGAUAGAAAAUUGCGCGGCACGUUAAUAUCUCUAUGUAAACCCGACGUGUGGGCCUUUCUUCCAUAUUUCCUGAUAACCCCCUGCAGAAAUAGACAAACACCAAAACUCGUGGAAUUCUGUCAGAUAAAACCCUAAGUCUAGGUGUUGGUUGCAUUUGGAUCCUUUUCUAUGAUUAGUUGAUGGUUAAAUGUGAGCAUUAAGGACCGUCAACAAGCUUCCCCAAGCUUAACCUUUGCUCGUCCCUGAGCAAAGAUGAACUCAAGAGUUUCUACAGUGGUUUCAUGCCUUAAAGAUACACAUGCGUUUAAACAAGAUCUCAUCUCUGGUUAGAGUAAACUAUUAAGACUUAAAACUUACUCAUUUACCUUUCACCAUGGGACUUGUAACCGUCACUUCUGUCUUGAGUAGUUAAAAGAUAGAACAGUCUAGUCAAGCACCAUGUCUCUUGUUAUUCGAUUAACUAUAGCUCUGGAGUUUUUGCAGAUUUUCAAAUAAAACUCAGAGAUUCCUUGUAUGACUCUCUCUAGUCUCUCUUUUGUGGUAUUUCUGGAUCCUUACCAAGGCAGUAAUGGUAUAUGCCUUCUCUCAAAGUAUGUAGUAUUUUUGGUAUGGGGCAUAGUGGCAUUGCCUUCUCUCUCACUCUACUCUAAUAAGGUUUUGAUAUCUGGAGCUCAUAGGUGGGAGACAGCUAAUACAUACUUACAAGACAUUUAUUGCAUAGUCAAACCAUGGAUCCAGAAGAACAAGUCAAUAAGUCAAAUCAAGAUGUGCAUGUGUGGCGUAUGAAUGAUGUAUGGUGAUGAUGGUGAUAACAAUGGUGGAAGUCUAAUUCUACUUAUGCUCUUUUGAGAGGAUACAUACCUUUCUUGCUCUUUUGAAACUUUUUGAGAAGAAUGAGAUGCUCUAUAUUUUCUUUUUCUUUUCUCUCAGGUGGGUAUCUUGUACCCCUAAUUCUACUGUCGGACACUUGUCCAUUUUUACCUCUCGUCACACUUUUUUUUUCUCUUUUUUUUUCGAGGUUCCGGGCACUUGCCCCUUUUUAUUUCCUCGUAUCUUUUUUUUCUCUUUUUUUUUUCUUUUUUUUUAGAGAGCACUCAUCUCUUGAAAUAAUAUAGCAAGUGGUAGUAACAAGAUAACUUGAGCAUUUAUUUCACAGGGGAAAAACAAAAAUAUUUUUGGCUAUUCUCUCCCGGAUUAGGAGUAGAAUAUUUUUGGGUGGUUCUGGAGAUGGAAAUGGAUGGAUAUAUGUGGAUGCGUACUUCCGGAGUAGAAGCAGCAUGUAUGAGUGAACGUGCAAGUGAAUCUUGAUUUAACCACAUGACAAGCUCCUAAGGGUCUACACAGCUUGACCACACUCAAUGCUCAUAAGUAGUAAAUAAUAAAUGUGUGGCUCAAAGUCUAGCAAGCAUGUAUAUAUGGCUGUGGUAGGAAUUUAAACUCUCAUCAUAUAGGAACUCAUCAUGCAACGUUUUAAAGAUUUUCAAAGAUAAAAUUCUCCAGAAUUCUAGCAUCUCUAGGAACAGAUAAACAGCAGCACAACCUUCCCAUAUCGUAUCCGUUAACGACUUAGACUUUAGAUCAAGUACUCUCCCCACAAGUUCAGGUUUAGAGCAAAUGAAAUUAAUAACAGUCAUGCCUAAACUUGAGAGAGAUUUCAAUUUUGAGAACUAGUCAUGGCAGAGCAACUAUUCAUGAUUUCCAUGUGAGAGCUUAUCAUGAGGGUUCAUAGCAAACUUUAUUUAUUUAUUUAUUUAGCAAACUAAGCAAAGAUAUAUAUAAGCACAAAAUUUUUAUUUGGGUUUUCAUGAUUAUGCAUCUUUUUAUUAUUUGAGUAAAGUAUAAAUGCGAGUAGAAACACUUAGCAGGAUAAAUGGGGGUGCUCUCCCCCAAGCUGGAUUUUGACAUAAUUUCUUUUGAUGUAGCUAGCAGGUGGCGGAGGUGUAUUUGAAUGUCGGCAGCACUCUGACAGCGAUUAGGAUAUCCUCCGUCUGCUAGACUUCUUUGAUCCUUGAAUUCUGUGGAGCUCAAAUAGACAACAAAGCUUUGUGGAACUAGUUAAGUGUUAGCAUGAAUAUUUAGCCUUUAUCAUGUUGAGUCUCCUCAAUAAAUGUUACUCUCUUUAGUAGGAUCAUAAAUUUAUUUUUAUAAUUUUAUUUUUAUAGGACAGGAAUAUAUUUAUUUUAUUUUUGUGCCACCACAGUGAAUGUACUUAUGGGUUUUAUGCCAUGAGCAUACUCACAUGGGGCUUACUAUUUCUAACAUUUUUAUUUUCUUUUUAAGAUGAUGUGAACCUAAUUAACUAAGCAAACUAUUUUAAAUAAUUGAAAGGAAAAAGAUAACUACCAAGUUUACCUCUUGGCAAGGCGUUCGGUGUUUUUAAGUCCUCCGAACGGGACUCUCCGUUUUCUCAGUUGUCCUGGGAUUCGCUAGAUGGCGUAGUCGGUGGUUUCGGCGGCGCGUACUCUUCAUGUAUAACUAUCUUCUCUCUCCACACCUGACUCGGUGCUACGGUCUUCUCAGAAUAGUUCUGUUCAAGCUGUAUGUCUUCAGACCUUACGACUUCUUCUUCAUAGUCUGCCCAUCCGUCCUUGAUGAUUUGCCUCCUCUGGUUGCGGUUGCGUCGUCGUCUUCUUGUCCUGACCUACUUAGAGUCUUCAACUAUAUAGUUAGGGUCAGUAAAAUAGCGGCGUACCUUCUCAGAGGGGAAGUUCAUGUGGAUUUCUCCGGUUCCAAUGUAGAUGAUUGCUUUGACGGUGCUGAGGAAAGGUCUUCUAAGGAUGAUGAGUGGAUCGAAUUCGUCUUCUCCCAUGACAAUAACCUUUCAGAAUGUCUGAUCUGCCAUCUGAAGCUGAAUGUAUGUCGGUUGUAGGGGCAUGGUUCCACGCAGGAGGUGAUAAGUGACUGCGGCCAAUAUAUUAACGUUAGAUCCGGUGUUGUAGAGUGUCUUCUGAAAAGAAUAUCCGUUGAUUGUGCACUCGAUGCUUGGAACACCAGGGUCGUCCUUCUUGAUAAAGAAAGGUGACUUGAGUUGACGAUCUUGACCUCCUUGAGCUGCAGUGACCAUCUUAGCUGACUCGGUCCACAUUUGCUUGUUCCUGUUCCUCCUGUUGGUCCUCUUCCUUGUUUCAUGUCAGGAUCGCUCUGAGAUUUGUGUAGUCUUGUUCUUGAAGGAAAACGUCUCCGUCCUUCCCUUGAUGUAGAAACUGAUCUUGACAGCACUAGCAUAGAUGACAGCUCCCGAGGUAUUCAGGAAUGGCCUCCCUAGGAUGAUGGGUGCCCUCUCAUCAGUAUCAGUCUCUAUCACCACGAAGUCUGCUGGAGCGUAUAAGGUACCAACUCGGACGUAGAGGUUCUUCAAUAUUCCCCUUGGGAAACUUAGUGUCUGAUCUGCAAGCUGCAAACACAUGGUUGUUUCUAGGAAAGGAUGUGUAAAGAAUUUAUCAUAGAGUACCCUGAGAAUAAUGUUAACGCUGGAGCCAAAGUCGCAGAGUGCUUCUAGGAAGUCCACCAUGCCCAUGGAAAUCGGGAUGACGGGACGUCCUGGAUUGUAUCUCUUGACCGGCAGAAGGUCAGUAAUUAUUUCCACAACGCAGUGAUUGCCUGAGUGUCCAGUAUCUCCAGUGUGUUUGUGCUUGUAGAUCUAGGUUCUUCACUUAGUGGAGUCUGGGAGUUAUAAGAGUCCAUCAUAUUUUGCUCGAAGUGUACCUGCUCAUAGAGACAAGGCAGAGAUCAAGUGCAUGGGCCCUGUUGGUGGAAAACACCAACAGAACCAAAAGUGUAUUUAUUCUUCUCUAACCUUAAGCAUAGUGAGCAAGACAAAGUUAAUGGAUAAUAAGAUCAUGAUUGUAGCAUUUAAAACAUUUGUCAGAUCAGAUGGCUCAACCUAAUGGAAAGAUAAUCUAUCUAUACUUAUGUUUUUUUUAUCAUAUAUAUCUUCCAUAUAUUGAGUGUGCAACAUUUUAGCUCAUAUGAUUAGGAGUGUGGGAUCACAAAGGUGGAAGGACUAAACAUAUUGAAUCGAUUGGGUUGGUUAAUCUAGAGUUGUAAAUCAUACAUGUUUGUCUCUUUUAUUCAUGUGAAUGCCAGAACCAAGGUGAAGCUUAUAAAAGUGAUAGUCAAGUACCUUAAGAUGUUACCUUACUUGAAGAGUGAUGAUACAGUAUCACCUUGUGGAAGCUUUCCUUUCUUAGCAGUUGUGAAUCGUGUUUGUGGCACCCUCCAUGGAUCAUCUCUUGUGAGCUAUGCCUUCCUUGUGUAAAUUGUUAAACUUCAUGUGUCUCUCUCUUUGUCUCCAAUGUGAGUUUGUCUCAAGACUUCCCAGAUUGAUAUUGAAAGUUUUCCUGCAGGGGUUAGUCCAACAAAAAUAUCCAAUAUCUACUAUAGCAUACUAUCGGCUCAAAAAUCAACCUAGACACCAUGUCUAAUUUGAUUCAGGAGGGCUUUUUUAACCUAAGCACCAUGCUUAAUUUAAAACCCCUUGGAAGUAAGAUCAUCAUUCCUAAACUAAGCACCAAGCUCAAUUAAGAGAUAAAUGAAACUACUCCAAACCUAGACAUAUACUAAAGCAAAUAAAGGUAGCAUGAGAGCAUUUAUAGAGAUCUACUCAAGUGGAGAUGAAGUAGUGUGAUUAGUAUUUAACAAAUUGAGCAUGUUUCAAAGGUAAGGACAACCAACAUAGCAACAUGGCAAAGGAUGUUUUUAUGUAAAGUACUCCCCCAAGCUUGAAUUUUGCAAAAUUCAAGUUUGGAUGAAUUUAAUUCAAUGUUGUAUGAUGAUUGGUUGGACAUACCUUGUGCUUGUCAUUCAUCCGAUCUUCUUGCUCCAAUCCUAGAAAGGUUAGUGACAAGAAUACCCGAAGGAAUAUUUUUAAAAUUAUCCAUAUAUGCUCAAUUCACAAGGUAAUGUUGUAAAUAAUUCAAAGCUCAUGUUACAAUCUGAUUAGUGCUUGUUUUAGGACACUAAGCUUGUCCUUGGGAAACCAUUAAUUUAUGUCAGCGAAGUGGUUUCCCCUCCAAUGCUGACCUAUAUCAAGAUCAACUCAACGAGAUCUGCAAUAUUUAAUAUAGACAUAUGCAUCGACAACCACCCUUUUAAAGUUUUUAUAAAUAGAAAGGAAGAGGGGGUUGGAGAUCUCGAAUGUGGUGAUGUUGGAGAGACCAAUGGAUUGUGAAGAUGUUGCAAAUGAGCAUGGAGUAAAUGAAGUGGCUAUGAAAUAAAUUCCAUGCUCAUUAAUGCUUAGAGUGAAAUCCAUGUGGUAUGGUGAAAAUGGUAAGGUGAGUGUGGUAAAAAAGGAAAAGAAAAAGGAUACGCGGACGACUUGGUUCGAAACUAGCACAGCUACCGUUCCCCGUCAACGGCGCCAGAAAGCUUGUUGGGUAUUUUAAACGCAAACAGAAAAAUCCGCAAGCGCACGGAUACCGAUGUAGCCUUCACCCGGGAAUAUUCCAGAGUAUCGAUUUUCCACAGAGAACGUGAGUGUACUAAUUAAGAUCCAAGAUCGCCCAAGGAUAACUAUAUAAUUAUUUUUGGUGGGAAGAGAGGAAGUUUCCUGAGAGUUCUCUAGUUGAUCUAAGAAUCAAGAAUUACUUCAAGAUUAUCUAUAUCGGGACAUCAGAGCACUAACCACAGAAAGAGAUGAGAAGGGGGCUAGGAAGGUCUGACUACGGUCCUACAAACACCGAUCCGAACGUGGUGGAAUACGUCGACCGUUAGGGCUGUCACUACCCUAGGGCUACCACAACAAUCCGCAGGAUUGGGUGCAAUUCCAGGUAAUUGCAAGACUAAACACCACGUCUAAUCUAUUAAUUACUACUCUAAUGUUUCAAAGAUUAGAGCACUAGAUGCAAGCGGGAAUCCAAUAAAUAACUUGAAUGUAAAUAAAAGUAAUUAGAGAACUCAGGAGUUAUGAAUUGAAGAACCUGGAGAACGAUAAAGAACGAACCAGAUGCUGCAAAAGUACAAUGUUGAGGAAGAUCCGACAGAUCCGGCUCCUCCUCCGCUCUCCUCUUCUCUCUCCCUAUUUUCUAGAUUACAACUAGAACUAACUAGAACUAGAACUAGAGGAACUAGAACUAGAACUAGAUGAACUAGAACUAGAUCUAGAUGAACUAGAGGUAGAACUAGAAGAACUAGAGGGAUCCACUCUACUUGGAUGAAGAAUUGAAACCCUAACUUUGAUUCUGUAGAAGAGGUAUGAUCUCCAGGGGCCAGGGGGGUCUGGUUUUAUAGUCCCUUCAAGUGAAUCUGGGCCGUCGGAUCAAACCGACAUUGAUCAUGUGGUUUUCCUUGAAGUAUUAGGUCGGUGGAGCAUUGUCCCGAAAGAGAGUCCUGAUUGGACUCUGGCUGAGGGCGGGCGCCCAAGAGACUAGGGCGGGCGCCCUGUGCCUGAGCCCUCUCAGCCUCUGCUUCGGUCCCGUGGCUUCUGGAGUCUUCUAGAUGAUAGAAAAUUGCGCGGCACGUUAAUAUCUCUAUGUAAACCCGACGUGUGGGCCUUUCUUCCAUAUUUCCUGAUAACCCCCUGCAGAAAUAGACAAACACCAAAACUCGUGGAAUUCUGUCAGAUAAAACCCUAAGUCUAGGUGUUGGUUGCAUUUGGAUCCUUUUCUAUGAUUAGUU
rnacentral:lncRNA from 1 species